GAGCGAUUUACUAUUAAUCUAUGGGCUGGAAUCAUUGGUACUACUGUGGUGGGGCCGUUUGUGUUACCUGAUCACCUUAAUGGGGAGGCAUAUGCUAAUUUUCUACGACUAGAGCUUCCGGCAUUGUUGGAAGACGUUCCUUUGAAUGUACGGCGGAAUAUGUGGUUUCAGCACAACGGCGCUCCUCCACAUAAUUCGAUACUUGCACGGCGAACAUUGAAAAGAGUCUAUAUAUCUAUGUUAAAUAAUAUACAACACAACAUAAUGCGACGAGUUAGAACUGGCAUUGAAGUUAAUGGUGAUCAUUUUGAGCACAUUGUUUAAUAACGUUACAGUACAACGAUUCCGGCCCACGGAUUAAUAGUAUUGCUCUUGAUAUGCUCUCACGUUAGCUAAAUGUGGAUUUUCGUUUGCCCAGAAGUGCCAAUUGUGCGCAUUAAAUAUUCACAUGCUGGUCAAGGAGCCGAUGAUUGGGGAAAAGACCUGUAUAUUCGCACACAGCAGUGGCUGCAUAGCGUUUACAUUCUCCAUAAAUUAACAUCAUUUCCAAAUAUUCUUUAUACUAGUAUGAAUAAGACAUCAGUGACUUAGUGGUAUUGGUACUGAUUUGUUUAUAGUUUGUAUUGUUCUUAAAAAAAAAUGCAACUACA